AGGUGUAAGUCGUCUAAAACCAGUAAGAGUAAACGCAGCCCUCACAUGAAGCUAUGGUGGCAAAUUCAGUCCACUGGUGACUUAACCGGUGAAACCAAAAGGAUGGGAUUAAUUAAUCUUAAUCUGUACGAUGAAUUAACUGUACAGUGUCUCACAUACAAGAAUCACAUCACAGGAGGAAGGAUAAAGAAACGAAACUACACUGUGCUGACAAAAGGAUCAGCAAAAGGAAUUACAGCCCUUGCCACCUUUAAUUUUGUAGUUGGUUAGGGCAUAGAGCAUUUUCUGAAUUUUGUUGUAUUGACAACUGCAAAUCAUGAUUCCUUCUAUUAAUGAUAAUUAUCCUUUUUCAAUGAAUCACCCAAGAAACUGCAGACUUCAAGCAAAAAGUUAGUGAAGAUCCAAGACCCAAGUCUCAAAAUCUGCAACGAGGUAAUGAUUCUCAGCAAUCAGUAUGCCAUAUCACAUAAUGUUUAAACAGCAACAUACUUUCUGACUAGAUUGUUUUAAGUUUUAUUGUAACAAAGAGGGGAAAAUCUAUCGGAAACAGCCUCUCUACCUUCAAGGUGGGUGUACGGUCUAUUACAUAUACACUACCCUCCCCAUACCACAUUUGUGGAAUUAUACUGGGUUUUUUUUUUUUUUUGUAGUAUUACAAAGAAGGUAAAAACGACUAAAGGAUGUCAUUUUCAUUUUCUAGUUACAGUUAGUCAGAUAGGGUUCUUGUUGCAUGUUUCAGCAAACUUAACCACCAAAAACUGGCAUGCCUACGUAAUUCAUAGGCCAAUUUCAAUAAAUUUGAACUACCCAACAACAAUCUUCAGACAAGGAACCAUGACCAGGUAAAAAAUAAACAACAAAAACAAGGAAAUAAGCUAACCUGAAAUGCUUCAAACUGUCCUCUCUUCCCUUUGAUCUCUCCUGGGAAACAUCCUUUAUAGUCCUUGCCAUCGAGUAAUAAAUCCCACUUUUUAUUCAUUAAUCCAGCUGCUAAGUAAAAAAGAGAAUGAUCAUUAUUAUUAUUGUGCGUUAAGCCACACAGACGCUUAUAUAUAAGCUUAUCGCCAAACUUAUAAGUUUAUAUAUUGGUAGAUAAAGAAAACUGCAUCUUAUAGUCAAGGCUUCAAAGGUUGACAGAAAAUUUGCACGGACUCUUUAAUUAAUUUAAACUAGUAAAUAUAUAUAUAUAAAAUAAUUUACUUAGUAUAAUCAUUCCUAAUAUCAAAAAACAGGAUACUCUUACACCAAAAAAUGUAGCAGAUUAAGAGUAACAAAAUAUGCAUACAUCGUUGAUGAUAGUAUAUGCAUCAAGCUAGUAUUUGACUCCCUAAAUAUUGUCACUUGUGCGACAUUUGUUCUUCUCUUCACCAUUCUUAAUUAACAGCCAAACGAUAUAAAUGAAAGAACCUUCUAGAGAGGAAAAAGAUCAUUUUAAAGAGAUAGCUUCUAAUAAAAAAGAGAGAGUGAAGAUGAAUGAUUAAGAGAAGAGAGUUAUGUGAUGAAGAAGAAAUGGCUUAUUAUUUAUAGUAACCAAAAAGAAGUAAUCAAUAAAAUUGUUAACUUAAGUUGGUAAUAGGAAUAGAUUGUAACGUACACUGAACCGUUAUUGUAGUAUACUAAGCAUUAUGAUUAAUUGCAUAUAUUACAACUUUAAUUAUAGCCGUUUCGCUUUCCUUGGAAAAGAAGAAAAUAUACAUUUAAUAGAAAAGCAAGAGGAAAAAGGCAAAAAAUUGAGAAAAAAGAUAAUGUUAUGAAAUCUCCUAUUUAAGGUGAAUGUCUAUAAUUAGAGAGAUUCUAGAGUUCUAUUCUUGGUAGAUAAAUCAUCCCCCUCCCUAUAAAUAANN
rnacentral:lncRNA from 1 species